GACGAACGCUGGCGGCGUGCUUAAAAACAUGCAAGUCGAACGGACUUCUCAUGAAGCUUGCGAUUGAGAAGUUAGUGGCGGACGGGUGAGUAACGCGUGGGCAACCUGCCCCUGAGCCCGGGAUAACAGUUCGAAAGGACUGCUAAGACCGGAUAUACUUGCGGGGAAGCAUUUCACUGCAAGGAAAGGGAACGCUCAGGGAUGGGCCCGCGUCCCAUUAGCUAGUUGGUGAGGUAACGGCCCACCAAGGCGACGAUGGGUAGCCGGCCUGAGAGGGUGAACGGCCACACUGGGACUGAGACACGGCCCAGACUCCUACGGGAGGCAGCAGUUGGGAAUCUUCGGCAAUGGGCGCAAGCCUGACCGAGCAACGCCGCGUGAGUGAUGAAGGUUUUCGGAUUGUAAAGCCCUGUCUUCCGGGACGAUAAUGACGGUACCGGAGGAGGAAGCCACGGCUAACUACGUG
rnacentral:rRNA from 1 species